rfam:Oxytricha trifallax strain JRB310 Contig21028.0 macronuclear, whole genome shotgun sequence.
GGUCGCAUAGCUUAGUCGGUAGAGCGUCGUGCUAAUAACGCGAAGGUCGGGAGUUCGAUCCUCCCUGUGACCA